rnacentral:snRNA from 1 species
AUCGCUUCUCGGCCUUUUGGCUAAGAUCAAGUGUAGAAGUGUUCUACCUCAUUGAGUUAAAUAUUGUCCCUUAGUCCACAAAAAUGCAUUUUUAGUAAAUAAAAGUAAGUUUUUAUCACGAUAAAAAUCACUAAGUUCUUGUUACUGCAAAGAAUAACCGAA